UACGGGGGGGGUAAGCGUUGUUCGGAAUUACUGGGCGUAAAGGGCUCGUAGGCGGCCAACUAAGUCAUACGUGAAAUCCCUCAGCUUAACUGGGGAACUGCGUGUGAUACUGGAUGGCUUGGAUUUGGGAGAGGGAUGCGGAAGUUCCAGGUGUAGCGGUGAAAUGCGUAGAUAUCUGGAGGAACACCGGUGGCGAAGGCGGCAUCCUGGACCAAUAUUGACGCUGAGGAGCGAAAGCCAGGGAGCAAAGCGGG
rnacentral:rRNA from 1 species